rnacentral:lncRNA from 1 species
AUGUUGUACACCAAUCAAAAGCUCGGACAUUAAGUCCCUUACAUAAAUUCGGACUACACCACAAUAAAAAGUCGGACCAUGCCUAGAUAAUAAAUGUCGGACCUUAUUUGUGUGUGCAUCAAAUAAAACUCUGAAUCAGUGGAACAGUUACUAUAGCAUCAAGUAAACAGUUACGUUUUACACGAUCACGAAACCCUAAUUUCAUUUGCAUUGCAGAGAACAAAUCAAUAAUCAACCAUUCUAUCAUAACAGGCAUUUAACAUUCAGCAAGUAAUUACACAACUGAUUACACAAUCGAUCAUAAACCAUU